AUCUUCAAAACUGGGUUCUUAAUUUCAACCACAAAUAAGAAAACUCCAACCUUCUCACUCAGACACAAUAAACCUUCAGAUCUAAUAUUUGAAUCCACAAACUCCAGAAAACUUAAUGGCCUUUGAUUUUUAUAUACCUCUCUGGGUUUGCUUCUGGAUCUACACUUAUGACGUUUUUCUAAGCUUUAAUUUCAGACACAAUAUCCAACUUCCCCUUCAGAAACAAAAUGGCAAACAUCGCAAAAAUUGAAUUCCCGGCUCUUAAUAUCACCGGAGAAAAUUAUAUGCCUUGGACGGCACAUGUUAAGCGACAUCUCAAGUCAAUGGGUGUUUUGGAAACGAUAACGGAGUGGAACGAUUGUAGCGAUCAAGACAAGGCAAAAGCCGAUGUCUUCCUCCAUAAACACAUUGAUGAGAUGUUGCAAUUUGAAUAUUCAAAUUUUGAGGAUCCAUACGUUUUGUGGGAAGAUUUAAAAAGCAGAUUUGAUAAUCAAAGGGAAGUUUUACUUCCCACUGCUAGAGAUGAAUGGAACAAUCUCAGGUUCCAAGAUUUUAAAAAGGUGAAUGAAUACACCUCUGCUUUGUUCAGGAUAUGCUCAACGCUCCGAUUUUGUGGGCAAACUGUUACGGAGGAAGAUAUAUUGGAGAAAACUUUCUCCACAUUUCAUGCAUCAAAUAUAAACUAGCAACAACAAUAUCAGUUGCAAAGGUUUCAAAGAUAUUCUGAUCUAAAUUCAUUUCUCCUCGUAGCAGAGAAAAACAAUGAGCUACUAAUGAAAAAUCAUCAAGCUCGUCCCACUGGAUCAUUAGCCAUUCCAGAAGCAAAUGCUGUUAUUAAUAAUGAUACUAAAGACUCUGGAAGAAAAUGGGGACGAGGCAGUGGCCAUUUUGGUAAAGGUAAUGGUCGUAAUUAUUCCUUCAAAAGCAAUAAUAAUUUCCGAGGUAACUCCCAUGGUCGUGGACCUGGUCGCGGUCGUGGUCGAAAUCAAAGAACCCCCAAUUAGCACACUCCACAAAAUACCAAUCCCAACCAGUAUAACAAAAGGAAUGAAGCUGGUAGGUCCGAAAACAAUGGCACUUCUUGUUUCAGAUGUGGAAGUGCAAACCAUUGGUCAAAGGCUUGUCGUACACCUUUACAUUUAUGUGAACUUUACCAAGCCCCUCUAAAAAGAAAAGAAAAGGAGAUGAACCAUGUGAAUAAUUUUAAUGAUAUCAAUGUCGAACUAAAUGUCGCCGACUUUACCAAUAACACGGAACUCUGAAACAAAUGUUGCUAAACCAUAAUAAUUAUAUGCAAUAAUUAUGUAAUUUCCUUUAUUAUAAGUGUCUUUAUUAUGUUUCAGUAGUCUUUCUUUUCAUGUAACGUUUUCAACUAAUAAAUAAACUUCUUACUAUAAAAUAAUUCACAAUGCCUUCGUU
rnacentral:lncRNA from 1 species